GGCCUGAUGGUCUAGUGGUAUGAUACUCGCUUUGGGUUCAUCCUCUGUUGAUUGUGCUCCCCUGGUGUUGUGCAAGCUUGCGGUGUGAUAUAAUCUGAAUUGCGAGUGGCCCCGGGUUCGAAUCCCGGUCAGGCCC